rnacentral:rRNA from 1 species
GUGCUUAACACAUGCAAGUCGAACGGAAAGGUCUCUUCGGAGAUACUCGAGUGGCGAACGGGUGAGUAACACGUGGGUGAUCUGCCCUGCACUUCGGGAUAAGCCUGGGAAACUGGGUCUAAUACCGGAUAGGACCACGGGAUGCAUGUCUUGUGGUGGAAAGCGCUUUAGCGGUGUGGGAUGAGCCCGCGGCCUAUCAGCUUGUUGGUGGGGUGACGGCCUACCAAGGCGACGACGGGUAGCCGGCCUGAGAGGGUGUCCGGCCACACUGGGACUGAGAUACGGCCCAGACUCCUACGGGAGGCAGCAGUGGGGAAUAUUGCACAAUGGGCGCAAGCCUGAUGCAGCGACGCCGCGUGGGGGAUGACGGCCUUCGGGUUGAAACCUCUUUCACCAUCGACGAAGGUCCGGGUUCUCUCGGAUU